UCAUAAUGGCCUCAUAAGGGAGCCAUUUAUUACAAAACCCAACCACACUGUUAACGGAGCUUCCGGGGGAAAUGGUGCAGACCACACUCGGGUUGUUGUCCUUCUGUUUGGCUGCGGUAGAUUUGGGAUCCUCUUUGGCUGUUGCUUAGAAACACCGUUGUGUGGAGAAGUAUGGAAGCCAGCAGGAUUCAGGGACUGUGAACGAGGGGAGUAAAGAACCAGGGGAUGAGAAAUCCAGAUGCUCCUAAGCCCUAAGUCAUUACGGCCAUCAAAAAGAAAGGCCAAAAUUGAAUAGACGUCAAACAUUACCUCGACAUGAACAUCACUGUAACCAGGACCUCAUUAUAAUUUCAUCUUCUUAUUCAAGGCCAAACAAAAUUCAGCUGCUUGCUGAAAUGUGAGCAGAGGCAGGCGAAGCAAAUGUGGAGUGAUCAGCCCCAGAUUUGAUGUGCAUCUCAGAGAUCUAGAAAAAGGGCAGAAUGACCUGCUCCUGUCGUAUCAGUUUGGUUUCAUUGUACUGACAGCCUCGACUUGCAUCAUGGACCAUGAAGAAGCAAGACAAAAACACACAGGAGGGAAAAUCCUGUGAUUCUUUCGCUAAGGAUGUAAAACAUCUGUGCAAAUAAA